CGGGCGGCGGAAGGCCCGCCCCUAGAAGGGUGUGGAAACCGUUAGACCCCCUUUCCUGCCCGCGCGCGCCCUCGCGGCCACGCGCUUUCGGUGUCCCCCGCGGGCAGCGGCCCGGCGGCCUCGUAGCGGCCGCAAAACGCCGUGGCCGUCGCGCGGCGCCAUCCGUUGUCGCAAAGCGGCGCGAGAAACGCCCAGCCGGGUGUUGGCCCCGCCCCGCGCUGUGACGUCGGCGGCGCGCGCCCCCGGCGCCGUGGCCGCGGCUGCGCAGUGGGGCGCGUAUGGCUGCCGCCCCCCGCUGGCAGACGCUGGCGGCGUAAGGCGCGCGGGCCCCGGAGCGGGCGCGGCGGAGCGCGGCGAGCCCGGCGCCUCCCGUCCCGAACAUGCGGAGGCCGGCCCAGGCGGCGCGGGAGCCGGAGCGGGGGCCCAAGCGGCACCGGAGCCGGAGCGCGAGGGGGCGCGGG
rnacentral:lncRNA from 1 species